UUGGUGGGAUGGAGUCUGUUGUGUGUGAGUGAGGAGGAGGGAUUACCGGAACAGUAGUUCCGGCGGCGUGGUGGCUGCCGGCAUGUCUGUUGCUGUGUUUUUUAUUUUCCCCUGUUUUUGACAGCAGCAGGGUCGUAUCUUGCGAUCCGUUUUUCAUCUGUUUUCUGUCAUCAAACCCCAUCAAUAUAGGUACCAUUGGAAAGCUAUCGUUGUUGGCUUUCCAACGGUACCUUCGGAUCGUCAAUCCGACACCGGACGAGGGAGUUAUGAGCCAAUCAAGUCAGGGUGUCGGGUCUGUGCGCGAAGGUUUCCGCGCGAGUUUGAGUCGACCUUCCGACGUCAAAUCGAUGCCGUGAGGGAGAAUAAGUUUAGGGGUUUUGUAGCUCAUAUCGUAGACGUUCUAAUCAUAGGUUUUCUUCUUGAGAUCUAAGGUCGAAUUGGCCGGAAU
rnacentral:lncRNA from 1 species